rnacentral:rRNA from 1 species
CCUACGGGCGGCAGCAGUGGGGAAUAUUGGACAAUGGGCGAAAGCCUGAUCCAGCCAUGCCGCGUGUGUGAAGAAGGCCUUCAGGUUGUAAAGCACUUUCAGUGGGGAAGAAAGCCUUGGGGCUAAUACCCUCGAGGAAGGACAUCACCCACAGAAGAAGCACCGGCUAACUCCGUGCCAGCAGCCGCGGUAAUACGGAGGGUGCGAGCGUUAAUCGGAAUUACUGGGCGUAAAGCGCGCGUAGGCGGUCUGAUAAGCCGGUUGUGAAAGCCCCGGGCUCAACCUGGGAACGGCAUCCGGAACUGUCAGGCUAGAGUGCAGGAGAGGAAGGUAGAAUUCCCGGUGUAGCGGUGAAAUGCGUAGAGAUCGGGAGGAAUACCAGUGGCGAAGGCGGCCUUCUGGACUGACACUGACGCUGAGGUGCGAAAGCGUGGGUAGCAAACAGGAUUAGAUACCCUGGUAGUC